UUCGUAGGCGGUCCAGAAAGUCAGAUGUGAAAGCCCACAGCUCAACUGUGGAACUGCAUUUGAAACUCCUGGACUCGAGGACGAGAGGGGUAGAGGGAAUUCCUAGUGUAAGGGUGAAAUCUGCAGAUAUUAGGAAGAACACCAGUCGCGAAGGCGCUCUACUGGCUCGUAUCUGACGCUGAGGGACGAAAGCUAGGGUAGCAAACG
rnacentral:rRNA from 1 species